rnacentral:lncRNA from 1 species
GUUGCAACUAGGACUUGGGUAGAAUGGAGUCAGCUGCUGGAUGCCCGUUUGUGAGUCCCGUACCAUGGUGGAGUCUCCUCCUCCUAGAGCAGAGGAAACCGACACUUAACCUGCCCGAGUGGCAGCACUCUCCGUUAGGCUGCGCAGAGCUCCAAGUGAAUGAUGAGAGCCUAUUUUGUAAAUAGUGAAUUCUUCUGGUUCCUCCUCAGCUCAUAGAACUGUGGCAGUUUUUUAAUAAUAGAUUUGGUGAGUCUAUGCUUUUGACAUCCAUGGACUUCUGAGUAUAGGAGACGGCCCCACACCCGCUCCAGGGUACAGACUGUGGCUAUACUGAUCUACCAGAAGGAGGGUA